AAAGAGAAAGUGUUGGAAUUCAAGGAUUUGAUCAAACAAAGGUAAAAUUUCUUUGAUUUUGCUAUUGAUUUACCUUACCCAUGCAUUUUCCCUUAAUUUUCAUGGUUAAAUUAAAUGUUUUCAUGAUGAAUUCAUGACUGGUCAAAAUGGGUAAGGAGAGAGAAAUAUGUUGGAUUGAAUUGAUUUUAAGAUAUGUUAGUGUUUUUCGUUAGUUUAACAUAUUUAGAAGUAAAACAACAAGAAAAUAAUCCAUUUUCCCCAUGAAUCUUCAUUGGUCGAAUCUUGUUUGAUGUGUGUGGGUGAUGGAUUGUUAUUGUUUCAAGAGAAAUGACUUAGAAAAUGAUGAAUAAUGGUGAGAAAAUUAAGUAGGAAAAAUCACGAUGCUAGUGCACUAUAAUGGCCGAAUUUUUCCAUGAAGAAAUGGGAGGGUUUUGAUGUUGAAAUUGGUGUUAUUUGAAUAAUGUUUGGUGAAUUGAGGUACUAGAAAUGAAAUGGAGCAAUUUGGAGCCAAAUCGGAUGCAAUUGUCAUUUAAUCGGGUAAUAGGCUAAAUUAGGUCAGCACCGCAUUUAAGCGGUAGUCGGAUAAGUUGCAUAUCAUAUCAUGCAUAUACACCGAGCCUGAAUUGAUUUUAUAAUGGUCAAGCAUUAAUGUGGUGAAUUAUGUAUUGUAUAUUAUGGAUAGGUUGUGAGUAAAUUACACUGGUAAAAGUACAGAGACUGUGCUUGAAGACUGGGAUUAGGAGUACAUCGACUCCUAAAACUGUGAGUAAACUUAUUAUCGUCUUAAUUAUCUAGAGUAGUUUUAUACAAUUGUGUGAUUUUAUAGAAAAUGGGUUUAAAUGGUAAAUUGCUACGUUUUAGGAGAAAUUAUGAUUUUAUAAAAUGAUUUUAUAAAUUUCCUAGAAAAUUGAAUAUUGGUUUUGAAAAUAGAGUAAUUAGAGACUGCCUGCUUGUGUUAUAAAUUGUGUUUUAAAUUAUAUGGCUUAUAGCAAUAUGUGAGCAUAAAUGGCAAAGUCGCUAUUUGUAUCAAAAUUAUAUAUACUAUGUAUUUAGCCUUGAGAGGCUAGAUUGCGAUAAAUUGCUAUGUCAUGCAGAUAAGGAUUUUAUAAAUCAGGUGGUAGAUAAAAUAAUCCAUAGUCACUGCAGUGGUGGGGGUUUCCAUGGACUACCUAUGAGAGGGGCAUGGUAACUCAAUUAUAUAUUUACCUCCGGGGGGAGAUGUUGGAUGAAGUAUCUCCUGAGGUAAAGAUUUGAGUGCACUUCACGUGGACCACCACGUGAGAGUGAGACUCAGCCAACGC
rnacentral:lncRNA from 1 species